rnacentral:rRNA from 1 species
UACGUAGGGUGCGAGCGUUAAUCGGAAUUACUGGGCGUAAAGUGUGCGCAGGCGGCGCCGCAAGUCGAGUGUGAAAGCCCCGGGCUUAACUUGGGAAUUGCGCUCGAAACUAUGGUGCUGGAGUGUGGCAGAGGAAGGUGGAAUUCCACGUGUAGCGGUGAAAUGCGUAGAGAUCGGGAAGAACAUCGGUGGCGAAGGCGGUCUGCUGGGCCGUUGCUGACGCUGAGGCGCGACAGCGUGGGGAGCAAGCAGG